GGUAAUCCCAAGUUAAAAGAACUUAUAAUUAUUUAAGAUAUUAAAUGUGUAUCAACUGUAACAGAACAUUAAUACAUUUUCAAUUUGGAUAUCAUCAGCUGUAUGCACAUACAGCACAAGAACUCGAACAAUAAUAAAGUAAAUAGCCCCCUUAACAGUUCACAAAAUAUAAACUGCAUUGCUGACAACCCAGUCUCUCUCAGCACAUGAGAUGACAAUUUUGCCAUCAGUUAACCAUUCUUAUCACUGGCCAAUUGUGCUGUAAAGUAUCCAAACAAUGUCAACAUUGUCUAGUCCCGUAACUCCCAUUAUCUGUACCACCAAUGCAACAGUAUCCAAGCCCAAUAAAUCCUCAUAAGAGAGCUGGUCAGCAUGCUGAAAUCAUAGCACAAACAAGCAGUUGAACUUGCACUAAAACCUGUUUCCAAGCUUCAGUCAUCCCUCCAAAAAUUUCAAAAUAGUAUAAACAGGCAAUUCUCUCCAUAUAUGAAUACAUAGAAAAUCUUAAAGCCUUCAUUAUUUGGAAGAUGCUUAGCAAAUCAGUAACAGCAAAAUACACAGAACAUUUGCAAUAACUGUAAUUUCAUGUUUGCAUAUGAAAUACAAGAAUUGUAAGUAACUAAUACAUUUCCAGCCAGGGAGUAGGAGAACAACUAAAACACAUUUUGACUCAAUUUACCAAAGAGAAACACAAAAGCACAAAGUCUUCUCUCUCUCUCUCUCUCU
rnacentral:misc_RNA from 1 species